CGCUGCUCAUUCACUUGUUUAUGAAUGCCACCGCGCUGCGGUCAGAGCUCAUAAAGCCCGAAUGACGCACCAAACGGAGCCUGCCGUCCACCACACCGAUAAUCGUAUGCAUUGCAUCGUUAUCAAGCAUCGGACGUAACGUUGAGUUAGGCUCCACCCA
rfam:Pantoea stewartii subsp. stewartii DC283 WGS_Sequence25, whole genome shotgun sequence.